rnacentral:lncRNA from 1 species
GGGGGGGGGGGGGGGGGGGGGGGGGGGGGGGGGGGGGGGGGGGGGGGGGGGGGGGGGGGGGGGGGGGGGGGGGGGGGCCCCGCUGCCACCCACCCGCUCGUCACCCCAGCCUAUGCCCCGCUGCAGUCCCCCCAGUUCCUGCAGCAGCCGCUGAAGCCGAUGCAGCCGCAGCCUCCGCCGCAGCAGCAGCAGCAGCAGUUUGUCAUCCAGCAGCAGCAGCAGCAGCAGCAGCAGCUGGGCCCCCGUGGGCAGCCCCCCUCGGGCCCCCCCUCUGCCCCCCAGCUCCAGCCCGGGGGGGGGGGGGGGGGGGGGGGGGGGGGGGGGGGGGGGGGGGGGCCCCCCUCUGCCCCCCAGCUCCAGCCCCUGCCCCCUGCCAGCCCUGGCCCAGCCCCUCAGCCCAAAACCGGGGUCCCCCAGGGAGCGGGGGGCGAGGGCGGCCCCCUCAAUGGGCACCCUGGCUGCCACGCUGCCCCCCGCAAGUUCCAGCACGCCUCGGCUGUCAUCCUGCAACUGCAGCCCGCCGGCCCCAUGCCCUCCCUCGGGGUCCCCGAGGGCGCCCGCAGGGACCCGCUGAUGGGGUGAGGCACUCCCAAGCCCCCCAAAGCAACAGGGGGAUGUUGAGGUCGGGGCUGCGCGGGGCCGGGCUGUGCUGCGGGAAGGUCCCUCGGCCCACGCGUGCCCAUGGCGUCACCCACGGUUGAUGCGGGGCUGCGGGCGCCUCGGCGAAACACGCGGAGGGCGGGGGCGUGACCACGCCCCAUUCUGUAGGCACGGCUCUGGUGCGAGGGCUGGGGAGGCGUGGCCACGCCUGGAGCUCCGCCCCAGCCGCGUGAGGGAGCGCAACCGGGGGGGGGGGGGGGGGGGGGGGGGGGGGGGGGGGGGGGGGGGGGGGGGGGGGGGGGGGGGGGGGGGGGGGGG